GGGUGAUUAGCUCAGCUGGGAGAGCACCUCCCUUACAAGGAGGGGGGCGGCAGUUCGAUCCCGUCAUCACCCACCA
rnacentral:tRNA from 1 species